rnacentral:lncRNA from 1 species
GUCAGAAAGGAGACCGAGGAGACAAAGGGACCAGAGGUCUUAUUGGUUUUACUGGCUACAAAGGCGAUAAAGGCAGCCAAGGUCCCCGCGGAGAACCUGGCUAUGGUCUCACUGGACCUCGAGGCCAGCCAGGAUAUCCGGGCCAAAAGGGAGAAAAAGGAUCGAAAGGCGAAACGGGUGAACGUGGUCCCAAAGGAGAUCGAGGCGGUCAGUAUUCCGUAUAUCACGCACAGCACGGAUAUAUUCUGCAAGGUUAUGGACAGCAUUGAUUGGUUCAUGAUUUUCUUCAUACUUAUAU